AUACGGAGGGUGCAAGCGUUAAUCGGAAUUACUGGGCGUAAAGCGUACAUAGGCGGUCCGUUAAGUUAGAUGUGAAAGCCCCGGGCUUAACCUGGGAACUGCAUUUAAAACUGGCGGACUAGAGUUGAGUAGAGGGGAGUGGAAUUUCAGGUGUAGCGGUGAAAUGCGUAGAGAUCUGAAGGAACACCAGUGGCGAAGGCGACUCCCUGGACUCGAACUGACGCUGAGGUACGAAAGCGUGGGUAGCAAACGGGAUUAGAUACCCGAGUAGUCC
rnacentral:rRNA from 1 species